rnacentral:rRNA from 1 species
AUUGAACGCUGGCGGCAGGCCUAACACAUGCAAGUCGAGCGAGCGGCGGACGGGUGAGUAAUGCAUGGGGAUCUGCCCGAUAGAGGGGGAUAACUGCUGGAAACGGCGGCUAAUACCGCAUACUAUCGGAUGGACCCAUAUGGGAUUAGCUAGUAGGUGGGGUAAAGGCUCACCUAGGCGACGAUCUCUAGCUGGUCUGAGAGGAUGAUCAGCCACACUGGGACGGAGACACGGCCCAGACUCCUACGGGAGGCAGCAGUGGGGAAUCUUGGGCAAUGGGCGCAAGUCUGAUCAAGCCACGCCGCGUGUGUGAAGAAGGUUUUCGGGUCGUAAAACUCUUUUAUCAGGGAGGUAUCUAACCAGGAAGCCACGGCUAACUCCGUGCCAGCCGCCGCGGUAAUAC